ACAGGGAUUGCCCUAGUAACGGCGAGUGAAGCGGCAUCAGCUCAAAUUUGAAAUCUGGCUCUUUCAGGGUCCGAGUUGUAAUUUGCAGAGGGCGCUUUGGCGUUGGCAGCGGUCCAAGUUCCUUGGAACAGGACGUCACAGAGGGUGAGAAUCCCGUACGUGGUCGCUGGCCUUCGCCGUGUAAAGCCCCUUCGACGAGUCGAGUUGUUUGGGAAUGCAGCUCUAAAUGGGAGGUAAAUUUCUUCUAAAGCUAAAUACUGGCCAGAGACCGAUAGCGCACAAGUAGAGUGAUCGAAAGAUGAAAAGCACUUUGGAAAGAGAGUCAAAUAGCACGUGAAAUUGUUGAAAGGGAAGCGCUUGCAGCCAGACUUGCCUGUAGUUGCUCAUCCGGGCUUUUGCCCGGUGCACUCUUCUGCGGGCAGGCCAGCAUCAGUCUGGGCGGUUGGAUAAAGGCCUCUGUCAUGUACCUCCUCUCGGGGAGGCCUUAUAGGGGAGGCGUAAUGCAACCAGCCUGGACUGAGGUCCGCGCAUCUGCUAGGAUGCUGGCGUAAUGGCUGUAAGCGGCCCGUCUUGAAACACGGACCAAGGAGUCUAACAUCUAUGCGAGUGUUUGGGUGUCAAGCCCGAGCGCGUAAUGAAAGUGAACGGAGGUGGGAUCCCUUUAGGGUGCACCAUCGACCGAUCCUGAUGUCUUCGGAUGGAUUUGAGUAAGAGCAUGGCUGUUGGGACCCGAAAGAUGGUGAACUAUGCUUGAAUAGGGUGAAGCCAGAGGAAACUCUGGUGGAGGCUCGCAGCGGUUCUGACGUGCAAAUCGAUCGUCAAAUUUGGGCAUAGGGGCGAAAGACUAAUCGAACUAUCUAGUAGCUGGUUCCUGCCGAAGUUUCCCUCAGGAUAGCAGUAACGUAUUCAGUUUUAUGAGGUAAAGCGAAUGAUUAGAGGCCUGGGGGUUGAAACAACCUUCACCUAUUCUCAAACUUUAAAUAUGUAAGAAGUCCUUGUUACUUAAUUGAACGUGGACACUUGAAUGUACCGUUACUAGUGGGCCAUUUUUGGUAAGCAGAACUGGCGAUGCGGGAUGAACCGAACGCGGGGUUAAGGUGCCAGAAUAUACGCUCAUCAGACACCACAAAAGGUGUUAGUUCAUCUAGACAGCAGGACGGUGGCCAUGGAAGUCGGAAUCCGCUAAGGAGUGUGUAACAACUCACCUGCCGAAUGAACUAGCCCUGAAAAUGGAUGGCGCUCAAGCGUAUUACCCAUACCCCGCCGCCGGGGCAAGAUUUAAGCCCCGGCGAGUAGGCAGGCGUGGAGGCUCGUGACGAAGCCUUGG
rnacentral:rRNA from 1 species